AUUGAACGCUGGCGGCAGGCCUAACACAUGCAAGUCGGGCGAGCGGCGGACGGGUGAGUAAUGUAUGGGGACUGCCUGAUGGCGGGGGAUCACUACUGGAAAAGGUCGCUAAUUACGCAUACUAUCGGAUAACCCAUAUGGGAUUAGCUAGUAGGGGGGGUAAAGGCUCACCUAGGGGACGAUCUCUAGCGGGUCUGAGGGGAUGAUCGGCCAAAUGGGGACUGAGACAGGGCCCAGACUCCAACGGAGGCAGCAGGGGGGAACAUUGGACAAGGGGCGCAAGCCUGAUGAAGCAAUGCCGCGGGUAUGAAGAAGGCCCUAGGGUUGUAAAGUACUUUCAGUCGGGAGGCGUUACCGACAUAAGAAGCACCGGCUAACUCCGUGCCAGCCGCCGCGGUAAUUC
rnacentral:rRNA from 1 species